AAAUCAGUACGCUGGUCGUGCCUCUGGUACGCACUGGUGUUACCGAUUUCUCCCUUCUGAAGAACUAUCAUGCCAUUAAUUUGGUGUGGUAGGGAAUCAGGACUGUUACUUUGAAAAAAUUAGAGUGUUUAAAGCAGGCUCACGCUUGAAUACAUUAGCAUGGAAUAAUGAAAUAGGACGUUGAUCUUAUUUUGUUGGUUUCUAGGAUUGACGUA
rnacentral:rRNA from 1 species